CUUCUGGGUCUGGCGCCCUCUCGUGCUUGGAGCCCGCACUCCAAGCAGGGCGCCCUCUGGUGGUGGUGGGCCAGCAGUACCUCCUCUUCAGCGGCCCACAUAACAUGUGGUGCUCCAUGGCUGAACAGAAAAUAUAUUUCAAUGUGCACCUGUCCAAAUGUGCCCGCGCUGGUUUUCAUUUGGAACAAUUACAUGAAUAAACUAUUUACACAGCAAGCAGCCACCCAUUGCGCACCAUGCCAGCCUACCUGUCCCCAACCCAACCCAAUGCAUUUGCAUAUCACAUUUUACCACUGAUGGAAUGAAAAUGUUUUCUAUCAACAAAACAAAUUCAUCAUGUCAUGGCGCCUAGAUAGCAAUAUGGGUGCAGUCAGUGGCUCUGAUUACGUUAGGGAAACCAGCUCUCACUGCAAAAUGCACUUUAAUGUUGGAAUGUGAUGUACCUGGAUGACAUUCGGAUGAUUGCGUGCCACACAGCUGGCAUGGCUUGGCUCAAGGUUGACUGGCACAUUGUUGACCAGGCUGU